GUGAAGACAGGUACUAAAUGUAGGUGUUCUAGGAAGAUAAAGAAAGGCAAGAAUAUUGAUAGAAAAUCCAUUAAAAAAUUGAGUUGCACAAAAGGAAAAAAAAAAAGUAGGUUUUGUUUUCUCAGAAGAGUAAAUUUAUUUCUUUUUUUUUUAAUGUUUCGAUUUUUAAAUUGAUCUCAAAAACUAGAUUUCUUACAUGACUGUUAAAAGACACCUUUCCAGGAAAACAUCAUGUUGGGUACCAGAGAAAAGAGUUCCACGUUGGAGAAAUCAAUUCCAUUUGUAACAGCGCUUCCCUUGAGGAUUUCUUUGCUUUACUACAUUUGUUGAUGUCAUUGUGUGUUUUGGUUUGUAACAAAAACAGAUUUAAUUUUUUUCCUUAAGUCAGCCUUAAUAAAUUGUACACUUGUGCUAGGAGGGUCACCUUAGAUUUUGGCAAAUUUAUCCUGCUCAAAGGCAAUGUUCUCAUUGGGUAAAUAGUUGGAUGGGCAACUGCAAGCAUGCUUAGAUUAGGAUAAAUGCUAUAAAAUGUAGCUUAAAUGUCAAACAGAUGAAGUCAGUCUACACUACAAGAAUGUAAGCCAAAAAUCUGUGUGAUAUUGAUGGUAGUAUUCAAGUACUGAGAUCUGACACUGAAUCAGAACUGACUCUUCUCUGAAGUGAGGAGUGGGAAUCUUACAAACAUCUUUUGGAGAGCAGCACCAGCUCUCUGCCACUGCUUUGUCACUGUGUUUGUGGAUACAAAUAAUCGUCCUAGGAAUAGACAUGAAGAUCUGGCCUUUCGAAGCUCUCUGCUGUGUGGAGAGACGAAGGUUUCUGUGAUGCCUUUAUGGUUAAAGAAAUUUUAACAAUAUGCGACUCAGCACAAAGUUAACACAUUUGGAAGGAAGCCAAGAAAAUAGCUUUAACUGAUUUUAGUUUUCCCUUAGUGCACACAAUAGUAAACAAAAUCUCAAGGUAUAUGUCAAAGAAUAAUCUGCAGAAGUUUUGGAUUUCAGGAGGCUACAUUCAUGUACUUCAAAACAUGAUGCUUUUUGGCUGAUACACUUUGGUUUGAUAGCCAAGUACAGGUAUCACUCUAUUUUCCAUUCUUCAGUAAUGCUGUAAAUGACCACUUCCACAUUUAUUGCCUACAUAAGAAGUUGCAAGCUUGGCUGACUUGAUAACAGAGACCAAGCUGAGACCUGGCCAGGAUGAAACUUCUCUGAGCUAACGAUUGGCCUGAGCCAGACCCCAUCCAUGUGGGACAGGAGGGAAUGGGGAAACUAAGGAUGUGGUGUUCCUACCAUACUCCAUAACACCCAGUUAUUGGAGCAGGACCAGCGCAUGCUUGCCCGGUUUAUCUGGUUGAGCCCUGGAGAGAUACUGUUGGCUGCUUAAAGACUUUCCUUUAUUAUCCUCAGGAUAUUGGCUGGCUCCUGACACAUGAAGCAUGGAGUGAUCUGUCUCCUGUCUUUCCAGGUUCAGAUAUGGCUCACUGAGAAAGGUUUCUCUGGAGGAAGUUCCGUGGUUUGGGUGCAGUUUCUGGCAUCAUGCUCCUGCUUCUCUUUCUGGCUGCCUUUUGCUCUGUACAGAAGAACUUGCAAGCUCUCAUUCAUAGAUAGAGCCAGAGAGGCAUUGGGACUCAUCAUUUUCUGAUGGAUUCUAAUUCCAUGUUGACUCAUCAUCCCAUAAAAUUCCUAAGUAGUUUUCCAAAACAAGAAAAAGAAGCUCCCUUCUGGUUUGCAGACUUUAACACAGACUUAUCAAGUCUUUGAUUUCUGUUUUAUCUAUCAGAUUUUUCCUCUCAUAAAUUCUUGACAUCCAGUAUAAAUUAAACCCAGUAGUUACAAAAGUGUAAAUUCAGCUACUUUCCAUCAUGGUCAGAAAACCAGAUGUAGUCUUUUAAGAUAUGCUUAAUUAAAAUAAGAAAACUACACUUCCCUCAGCCCCUGAAGGCUGAGGCCUCCAGCCAUCUCUGCCAUCGACAACAAGGAUAAGCAGAGGUUAUUUCCCAGCACUGUUGGCACCUCAGACACCUCAUCCCUCCCUUUAACACAGUGUUUUCAUCAUCCUGAUGCUAAUAUCCUUCAGUUUUGCUUCAGAGGUAGCUUGAGUCAUGCCACAAGGCUAAGUGUGGAGGUUGCCAGAAACACAGGAACUGGUUCUAAAUGUUUGUGUUCAGAUACAGAGGCAAUAUAGCUAUGUUUAUAUGAAGAUUUAUUUUGUUGUGCUGGUCUCAUUUGACUUAUUUUGCUGAGUUUCCCCAUUGUCUCAAAACCAUCUGGCAGACCCCUGGGUGCCAUGCCAGGGAAACCUGGUUCUGAAGAUCUCCUCAGAGCACCAAACAAAUCUGUGCUUGUCACCACAUGUGAGGCCAGCAGCAUGCUGAAGAAUGGACUCACUUCCUCAAGACCUAAAUGGAAGGUCUUCUUAAAUGUUGGAGUGUCCUGUGCCAGCUGUGCAGAUGUCUUCCUAAGCCUUGAAACUGCACAGGAAAAAUCCAUUGUCUGUGUCUGCAUUACAGGCAUCAAACAAUGUGCAGUCUGCUUCUUCCACGCAAGUGGAAAUAACGUUUGGAACCUUUGAAAACAUUCAAGAAACAUUGAAACGUUUGUUCAUCAUGACUAAAAUAUUUAUAUAACAGUGUAGUGUUCAGGUUCUGUUAAGGAAUCUACAAUGCUCAUCUUUAACCCCAGAAGCAGUACAAAUAAUAAUUCACAGAACAUUUCCUUUUUGAACAGCAAGAACCUGUAGUACUGUCUAAUGUGAAAAGUUAGGAAUAUUUUGAUAUGCUGUGUUUGACUAUAGCAUAAUAAUGGCUUCUAAAACACUCCAAGUGGAUUUAUUCAUGGUUCAAGGAACAAGGCCAAAGAUUAAAAAAAAAAAAAAAAAAAACCUGUAAUUUUUUUCCUCAAUUGUGCUUUCAUUAGUGACCUUCGGAACAUUUCACAAAGGGUAUUUUUUUAUGCAUGUUUGCUUUUCAUCGGCUCUUCUUAUAACUCCUUGUCAGUUACAAUUUUUCCUUUACCUUUGUUUACUUGUUGAGGUGCAAGAACUGGGGAAGGCUGCCUACAUCACAGAGAGCCAAUGUGAAUUAAAGAGCUGAGCAUCAGGCACAAUUUCCAAGCUCUGUGCUCACACACAUCACUUCAGAUUUCCCUAAGGAAAAGCUAUAGCAAAGAAAUCACUUUCAGCUACCAUGUUGAAAAUGAGAGGUUGGCAACUUUUGAAAAAACUGAGUCCUCCAGUUUUCCUGCAAUACAAAUGAAAGAUUCAUUUCACACUGUUGGGAUAGCUGGUCUGUUCUGGAUCUGUUUACUUCCAUGUGAUCUACAUACCACCAUGCUUUUUUUUCAUCUAGACAUGAAACCUGUUUAAGGUAGAUAGGUUGGUGUUUUGAAAAGAAUAAGCUAUUACACCUGUUUAACUGUAAAAUGGAAGUUCAAUUCAUUUGUCUGCUCAGGUAUUGAAUGAGUUCCUGGUGUCUAUUACGUUUAAAGAACAAUUUUUCUUUAAGAUAAAAAGUAUUUGUGAUUGACUUCCUUUUAACUCAUGCUUGAAUAUAGCAUUUGCUUUUCAGAAUGGCUUUGUUUGGGUUGUAUCAUCUGGUUCAUGUGGGUCCACUCUGCAAGCUUGUCCAGGUCCUUCUGGAUAGCAUCCGUUCCUUAAGUUAUAUCUAGUGCACCAUUCAGCUUUGUAUGGUCUGCAUAGUUACUAAGGGGAUGCUCAACCCACUGUCCAGAACAUUGAUAUAGACAUUAAAGGGCACCAGUCCCAAGAUAGUCCUCUGUGGAGUACCAUCCAUCACUGGCCUUCACCUGAUAUCCAUUGAUAACAACUCUUUGACUUCCAUCAUGCAACCAAUUUUGCAUCCACAUAAUAGUCCACCCUUGAAAUCAAUCUCUCUCCAAUUUAGAGGUAAGAAUGUGGUGCAGGACCAUAUUAAAGGCUUUGCAGAAGUCCAGGUAUGUGAAACCAGUUGUUCUUCCUUUGUCUACUGAUGGUGUCACUCCAUCCUUAAAGGCUACUGCGUUGGUCAGGCAUGAUCUACCCUUGGUGAAUCCAUGCUGGCUUUCUCAGUUCACCUCUUUGUCUCACUUGCGCCUUAGCAUCUCGUCCAGAAAUAUCUGCUCCAUGAUCUUUCCAGGCACAGACAUGGGGCUCAUUGGCCUGUAGUUUCUUGAGUCUUCUUUUCUAUCUUCCUUAAAAAUGAGAGUGAUAUUUCCUCUUUUCCUGACAAUGGGGACUUCACCUAGCAGCCAUGACUUUUCAGAGAUGAUUGAGAGCAGCUUGGCAACCGUAUCAGUCAGUCCAUUCAGGAUCCUGAGGUGCAUGUCUUCUGGCCCCAUGAACUUGUGCAUAUUCAUUCACGUCAGGUGGUUUCAGUCUUGCUUUUCCUUUACAGUAUGAGUGAUUACACUUCUCCAGCUCCCACCUAGAGGUUCAGGGAUGUAAGAGAAGUGGGUAGCUUGACAGUCAGUGAAGACCAAGGCAAAAAAUUUGUUCAGUGCCUCAGCCUUCUCUCUGUCCAUUGUUGCCAUUUCUCCCUUCUCAUUUAUCAAAGUAAGUAGACUCUCCUUGGCUUUCUGUUCUGACGAAUGUGCCUGUAGAAUCCUUGUUAUUUUUCACAAUUCUUGCUAAGUUCAAUUCCAUCUGUGUUUUGGCUUUCCUCAUCCCAACUCUGUACUUCCGAACGGUGUGCCCUGUACUCUUUCCAGAUCACACAUCACAGCUUUUACCACUUAUGCGUUUCCUUUUUAUCCUUCAGGUUCACCAGUGUGUCACUGCUCAGUCGUGCCAGCCUCCUGCCUCGUGCUUGAUUUCAUUCAUAAAGGGAUAGAGAGAUUUUUCACUUAGAAAUGCGUCCUUAAGGAGAUUUUCCUUCCAAAUAAUUUUGCCUGAAUUUUUAAAAAGGAAUUUCUGCAGUAAUACAGGCAAUAAAGUAUCUGUUUUAAUUUUUGUCUUUUAUUGCAGUCCAACUUUUUAUGAUGAAGUCAAGUUUAAUAUUCAGUCACUCUAGAUACUUGGUUAAGUACACAAUAUUCUUUUUUCUAAAACAGUGUAGAUGUCUAGGACCAGAUUUACAAAGAUGUUUAUGUAUCUAAAGACAGGCAUAUAGCAAAAAAAAAAAAAAAAAAUCUGAAAAGAAUGAGAUACUUAACUCCUUCUGGAAGGCAUGAACUGCAUAGGUCACCUUCAGAAAUAGAAGCUUAGAAUCCCAAGUAAGUCAAUCAGAAAUCUUACCUAGAUAGAAACUAACAAUGAAAGGUCCAUUCUCACCUGCACCCUGGCACAUUUUAAAGUGUAAUUUUAUGUAAUAUUUAAUUUAUAUUGAUUGUUCUUUCCUGGGGAUAUCUCAGUCUACGUCUGGAAACUUGGAAACUUUGCCAGCUGAGUCACUGUAUCGAACAAUAUGUAAUUAUCUGUAUUUUUUUCAUGCUUUCUACAUCAAGGUUUCUAAAUUGAGAUGAAAUGUGAAUAAAGGAAGAAAAUAGGGCAAUUUCUCUUUCUAAGUUGAUAUUCCUUAGAAAUAUAUUUCCCAAGUAAUUGUACUUUAUUUUAAUUAUAAUAAAUACAUGUUGGAUUUUAAUGACACUCUUCAGAAUAACACAAAGUGUAAGAACAUGGCAGAGGGAGAGGAAAAGGGCAAAGCUAUUUAAGGUAAUGGAGUAAUUUUUCACAGUGCGUGGUUAUUCCAUCCCUGAUAGGUAGAACAAUUGAGUGUAUUAAUUACAUGUGGGUUUUACUUUGCGUAUCUGGGUUAUUUGUCUCCACUUCUAUUUGGAGAGCAUUAAACUUUAAGUGGAUCCAGAAGGAAUGUUGCUCAAGCCAAGCCGUGUAUUCACCCAGGAAAUUAGAAAUCUUUGCAUCAGCUCUGACUCACACAUGUUCUUUAGAAGCCUGUAUUUACAGAUUCUUAAUUUUCUUAUUUUGCCACUGGGAUGUUAUGACUGAGAUUGCUGUCUCAGUGGUCUGAAGACAAUAUUUGGCAUUAUGGUCUUCUCACUUACAGAAGUAAUGAUGAAGAUGUUCACUCCAGUAAUGAGGGACCAAUCUCUUUCUUUUCAGAUUGCUUUCCUCAGGUGGUGGUGUUUUUGAACACUGACUUUGCUGAGGAGCCUCAGACUGGUGUGAAGCCAUUCUUAAAAAGUCAGUAAUGGUAAUGAACUGUAAAAACAAAUUGAUCUAACCAUGUAAAAUAUAGAAAGUAUUAAUUAUCUUUCACUUAUGAAUACAUUUAAGACCUACCUUGAACCUGUUAGACUGUUGUAACUGCAGUUGCCAAACUGUUGGAUAAAGCAUAUAACCCAAAAUCAUAGCAAAUACAGAGGAGAUAAACAACAAAAAAUGUAGUGGCCAUGACAGAAAAUUUGUCCUGGUUCUUCAUAGUGCAACAAAAAAACAGGCAACAACAAAAAAAUAACGCAUUAAGAACAUGGUCCUGAACUAGUCUGUGGUAAUACCUUUUUAUGCUCACUUUAUAGAAUUGGAAGACAUAUCAAAGCUGGGUCAUCUCUGCCCAUGACGUAUCCAUUUGCAUGGCAGUGCAGAGUUAGCUGCUCCCAGUUUCUUGUCUCCACUUCUCAGAUUUUAGAAGCUGGUGACACAUUGUUCCAGUGCCAAGUCCUGCAGACUAGAGAAGAGCUGGUUAAAUCUCUUGCCCUUGCACUACCAUUGCCAUGGAGGAUAAUUUGCUCUAAAAGCUGCUAAAGCUACAAUGCAGAAUCUAGCUCUGAGUAAAAUAGGUGAGCAGCCCUGUGCAUUUUCUAAAGCUAUAAAUCCUGUGUUUCAAAGUCCUUGGGAAUUUGAAAAGGGACUUCAGGUUGGCAGGGAACAGAAAAGAGUGACUUCUGCCUGAAGGACUGUAGUACUAUAGAAAAGGAAUAGGGAUGAGUGGGAGUAGAAAAAAAAAGGUUCACAUAAAGAGAAUAGCUUUUAUAAAAUUCAACAACAAACAUUUUUCAGUUUAAACUGUAAGUGGAAAGGGACAUGCCUGAGAUGAAAGAAAAGAAUGGAGACAGAUCAGUGGGUAAGGAGAUGAACCAGAGGAGCAGAGCAGAUGAGAAACGUCAGCAUGCUGAUGUGGGGAGAAUAAGGUUGAGAAUAGGCAACUGUUUACAGAUAGGUAUGUCUCAUCCUGAUGUGCCACAUCAUCAUUCAUCAUUUUUGAAACUGUCAACAUCAUAAGAGAAAUAGAUGAUGGAUGAAAUGAAUGUCAUUCAAAAAAUCAGAUUUCAGGUUAUUCAUAUGUGGGCAGAGAGCUAAGAGAUCUGGGUAAUGCAAACAGCAGGAGCUCCAUAAUAUAGGGAUUGUAAAAGUGGAACAGGGAACUGAUUUCUACGUGAUACAGUCAACUACCUCAAAAGCACAUUAAAAGAUGGACAACUGGAAGAAUUGACUGAUGCUUCUGGAAAUGUUAAAGAGGAAAUAAUAGCUGGUACAGCUCAAAGAGAAGAUAGCAGGUUGCAUGACAGUGGAGUUUCCCAUGCUCAGCCACCUGAAUGAGGCUGUUAAAUAACAAGCUCGACUCGAAAGCUAGGACGCUGCACAGAAAUAAAUGACGUUCUUCUCUUGAGUAACAGAUGGGAGGUUUUUAAUCUCUAAUUACUUCAGGCACAUGCCAGGCCUUUGAAUAAAGACUAUGACCAAAGAAUAUGCUUGUGAUCAGCUGGAAAUAUCCGGAGAGGAGAGAAACCCACAGAUAUGAAUUCACUACAGCGUGACAAUGAAACUUCAGUGAUGCAUUUAUAAUAAAAGCCAAAACAUUCCCAGGAUUUACCAGGAAAUAAAUAUUUUUAAUUGUGCAAGCUAUUGAUGAUAAUUUGUUUAUUUUAUACUGCAGUCAUUUAUAGUCAAUAAAGAUUCAGAACAGUCUGGACAUGGAUAGUGGCUACUAAGGUGGUCAAAGGAAUGCCCAGACUCUCAAUAGUGAGCCUAUUUAAUACAGGAAAAUAAGAGUGAAACAAAAAUUAAGAGCACUCUUGUGCUUAUAAAUUUCUAAUGAAAGGAAAUUCAGGAGUAACACGGGGUACUCGUGCUAUGGGACAAUGCUAGUAGAAGAACCAAGUACAUAAAGUGAUUGUGAAGAAGCUUUGGUUGAAAAUUCUAAAUACAAAAGUGGUGAUGGUAUAUAAAAAAUGACCUCACAGGAGUAGUGGGUUAAAAAAAAUUAAAUUUUGUUAAAAUGUAACAACCUUGAUAGGGUGUUCAUAGGGUGCUUAGACCUUGUAAAUCUUGUAGUAUCUGUGUGGAAUUUUCUCUGCUCACUUCCAUCACGUCUUCAAACACCCAUUCAAAACUCAUUGCAUCCAGACAACAUUCCUAAUGUCCAAAUGCUUUCUUCAGGGAGAUUUAUCUUUUAUGUUUUGUACCCAGAUAAUUUCUGUCAGGGAACUCUGCAGCCAGACUUCUGUAGACAAAUUUUGUAUUUGCACACUCUUUCCUCUGGCCAUUAGCUGCUAGUUUUCUUUGCCUGGUUCCUACACUCAAAAAAAUUAAAUUUCCCAGAUUCCCAGAGUUCUGCAUCUGGCCUCUGAGGCUUCAGACUAGUUUGACUUUGCCUCUUUCCUCAGUGUUGGCAGUUACAACUGAUCUGCAGUGAUCAAAGGCAGGAAGCAUCCAGCUCACACUCAUCUCCAGACUUCUGAUCUCAUUACAACAUAGUCCCUGAACAACCCUGACAUAUCAUUGAUUCGCUUGGCUGUGGUGAGUUGUACACCCACACAGAGGCUCACUGACUUCGUUAUGUUUUUGCUCAUGCAUGAUAUAUUGUUUUCCUUCCUUAGUUAGGGCAUCUUGUACAGAACUUCAUACCACUCGUAACUUCAGCAGAAAAAAAACAACAACAAAAAAUGUUGGACUUAGGCUGCCUUUUGUGCCUUUGUAAUACAUGACAUUGUUCUGAAAUUUAUUUCCUUUGUUUUUUUUGGUUAGUUUUCCCCCCUUCUCUUUAUUUCAUUUAUUUUUGCAAUAUAAAUUUGAGUUUUGUCUUUCAUCCAAGACGGUGUGAUGACAGAGGAACCACUGAAUUAUGAUGUCAUGACAGACUAAGGAGAAUACAAUUGAGAAAUUUGACAGGAAACUUGACUUCUCAUUGGACUGUAAACAAUCUUUUGUUUUUGAAUAUUUAACCGUUCCAAUGCAUUGAAUGAUAUUUUUCCAGUUCAAGUAAGGCAUGACAGGUCACAGUUAAAUUCCUAACAGCACCUCAGAAUUUCUCCCAGGCAAAAGAGGAGCAAUGGAACUGACUGUCAAAAUGAUUCAAAAGACAGCAGACACAUACUUGAAUAUGUAACGUGCUUAACCUAAUCUAACUAAACAUAAAACCAUUUAGGCUAAAAUCAUUACAAAGUAACAUCAAGUAGAAAAAGACCAAGCAAUCGUAGUAUUUCCAAAAUAAAGCAUUAAACAAAAUAAUCUUCAAUUUUCUUGCACAUACAGAAAAAAAAAAAUGCUAAUUUUCAUGUCACCACCAAGACCACCUUUCAGAUAUUCAGCAACUGAUUCUGCAGAAUCUCAAGAUUCCUUUAACCAUAACUAAAAAAUUAUGCUUAAUUUUCUGGAGAAAUUAUGAGUUGAUGAUUGCGAGUUCUGAAAACUAUAUUCUCAUUAAAAAAAAAAAAAGUUGGUUUUAAGUUUUACUUUGCUAGAGGAAAUAUGCCAUUUGAGUAAUGUUCCUAUAAAUAGCUACCACAUUUACAGGUUUUGUUAUCAAUAUCUGAUCUGAUCACAGACUACUUACUAACAAGCUAGUGAUACUUGUGGGUAUGAAUGGAAAUUCUAAAAAUACUUAUGAUCACAAAUUUUCAAUGUGAAGCCACUCAGUCUCCAAGAAAGGCCAGAAGGUGUCAAAAAACUUGAAGCUGUAUGGUGAUAUUAAGCCUCAAAAUGAGCAUUUUUUGUUCACUUUUUCCAAAUCAAUACCAUCAUGAGUAUCAUAUUGCAAAGUCUACCUCACGUUCUCUUGAAAUAUUUGUGUACUUAAGCCUUUAAGAGCAAAGUUCUAAUAUAUACAUUAUACUGGAUUACUUACUCUUCUCUUCUCAUAAAAAGCCACAGACUGAGACUGAGCUAAGAACAUAGCUUAACUGUUUGUGUGUAUGCGUAUCAGUAAGAAGGAAGAUACAACAUCUUCAUCUCAAGAUUGGAGAGACAUGGAUUUUAUUGAAUUUGAAGGCUGAACUACACUUUGGAAUUUGCAGACAGAGUGGUGUCCAGGGGUCUGUCUUUGGUCAAGUGCUCUUUAACAUCUUUGUCGAUGACAUAGUGGAAUCAAGUGUCCCUUCAGCAAAUUUGCUGAUGAUACCAAGCUGAAUGGUCCAGUUGACACAAUAGAAGAAAGGGAUGCCAUCCAGAGAGACCUGGACAAGCCUGAGAAGUGGAACCAUGUGAAUCUAAUGAGGUUCAGCAAGGCUAACUGCAAGGUAUUGCACUUCAGAAGGGACAAUCCCACAUACGCAUACAGACUGGCAGAGGAACUCAUUGAGAGCAGCCCCAGAGAGGACUUGGGAGUGUGGUGGGCAAAAAGCUUGACACUAGCCAGUAGUAAGCACUUGCAGCCUGGAAGACCAACUGCAUCCUGGGUUGCAUCAAAAGAGGGGCAGCCAGCAGGGAGAGAGAGAUUGUCCCCCUCUGCUCUGCACUCGUGAGGUCCCACCUGCAGUACUGUGUCUGGGGCCCUCAGGACAAGAAAAAUGUGGAGCUGUUGGAGUGGUUCUGGAGGAUGCCACAAAGAUCUCUCCUUUGAAGAAAGACUGAGAGAGCAGGACUUAUUCAGUCUAGAGAAGAGAAGGUUGUGGGAUACCUCAAUGUGGCCUUCCAGUGCUUGAAGUGAUCUUAUAAACAAGAUGGAGACUGACUUUUUACACAGUCUGAAAGCGAUAUGACACACGAAAAUGGUUUUGAACUAAAAGAAGAUUAGAUAUUAGGCAGAAAUUCUUUUUUCAGAGGGUGAUGAGGCACUGGGUAGGCUGCCCAGAGAGGCUGUAGGUGCCCCAGCUCUGGAGACAUUCAAGUCUAGGUUGGAUGGGAUCCUGAGCAGCCUGAUCUAUUAGGUGACAACCAGACUGUGGUAGGGAUUUGGAACUAGAUGAUCUUGUGGUGCCUUCCAAUCCAAGCCAUUUUAUGAUUCUAUGAUUCUAUAAGGAUAGAAUCUGUCAUUUAUCUACUGCUAUCUCUUCUGAUGUUUCCAAGAGUUGUUAUCCUACAGGUGACAUACCAUAAAAAUUUAUUCUUCUUUCAUUUUGGAAAACAUAUUGGCUGCUGCUUUAAUGUUCUCACUUCCAUUCUUUACUGGAAGUCUCUGUUUACUUAAGUUAAUUUAAAUGAUCCAUCAGAUGAAUCACAACGUUUUAAGUGCUGGCAGGAGGGGCAUUAAGAAAGGCACUAGUUUGCUUAAGGUCCCUUAAGUACGUAGACUGCAAAACAAACUCCAUACAGUUUCACAAGGAUAGUUGGAGUGCAAAUGGUUGAGUAAUGAAGACAGUAAAACAGCCCACAAUAACUUGGCUUCCUCAUAUAGUCCUAUCCAUAGGAAAAAAAAAAUCCUUAAAUGACAAGGGAUACACAUUUCGUUCAUUAUUUAUAUACUUCUCAUCAUGAAUAUGGGAUAAUAUAAAGAAAAAAUGUAUUAGACUCCUUGUGCUUCCAUUUGACAUACUAUAGCAGCCCUGAGUGGACUGGGAUACUGAACAUCCCUGUGAUGUUGUUACACCACUGAUGAUUGUAGUGUGGAGCGCUCCCAAACUUAUCAGCUGCUGCCUGCCCCUGGAUAGCAUUGCCUCAGAUUCCUUAAUCCCCUUGAUUCCUUGAGCAAGGCAUCCCUUUCUGAGUGAUGUAGGUAGCUUUGUCAGGUUGCUGAGUGGCUUCUGCUACCAUAUAUAGCAGAUAUUUCUCCAAGAAUGCUUAGCCUAUAGCAGAAGCUGCCCAGAUUACAACAGAGACAGAACAAGUAGCAACCAUGGUGAGAUCAGCCUCAGCACUGGUAAAGUCGGGCACCUGAAAUUAUCAUCCCAGAGUAAUUGACUGUUGGCAGACACCAUCCCAAGUAAGGAUCUGCAGUGAUCCACAGACAUUAAUCUCAAAUUAAUCCUAUUAAUCCUGAAUUAAUAUGACUAAGUCAUUGCAUGUAGAUUUGGUUGUUUUGCAUGAUUUUCAUAAAGAACAAAGUGUAAAAAGCUGUGAAUAGAUUGCACAUAUCUCCUGUUGUCUCAGACAGGAACAGGAACAGGUUGUCCAGAGAGGCUGUGGAUACUCCCUCCCUGGAGGCAUUCAAGGCUAGGAUGGAUGGGGCUUUGAGCAACCUGGUAUAGAACGGGGUGCCCCGGCCACUGCAGGGGGGUUGGAAUCAGAUGCUCUUAAAUGUUCCUUCCAAACCAAACUGUUCUACAAUUCUAUGAUUCUAUGAGAAUUUGAUGCAUUACAAAGGCGGAUGAUUUAUUGAUUGCUUAAUUAAGAACAAGUUAAGAAUCCGGAAAGAAUAUGCAAACCUACAUCCCACUUAUGAAAAGGAAUAUGUUUUUUUCUUGAGAAGGAAAAGAUAAUGUGGAAGAGUGAAGGAUUUGAGUAUGAAUAUACACUUGUGUAACCCAUGAAGGAACUGGGUAGAAAGUGUCCUACAUUCCCAAAAAUGCAGCUUUCUUUGAUAUUAGACAUUAAGGUAUUAAGAUUGUAUUCUGUGUCAUUAGUUUGAUAAGCAGCUAAACUGCCUGCUGGCAGUUACCAGACAAAGAGAAAUCAUGUAUAAACACAGUUAAUUUCUUAACUAAUCAAUCUUGUCCAUAACUUCUGUAACCAUCUUGCUGUGUUUGCAUUUUUUAAAUAAUAUAUACUUACUUGAUUUCACCCUAGCCUGGUCAAGAGUAAGGGUGAUUUCAAGGCAUCAGGCAAAUAUCAAAGCACAGAGUCCAAUCAGGCUUGCCAAUCUUUGCAUCAGAUGCUGUCCCACUCUUGUGAUACGAAGCAAAGCACACCGAUGAUUUGCUACCCUACUCCCUAGGCUAGCUAAUACUGGGAUACAAAAUAUUUCAAUUUAGUGAUAGAUAUUCUAUUGAUAGUUAGUGUCUAUGACAUAGGCUUUGCAGAUCAGAGCAGCAGAGAGAAAUUUUGGUCCUGGUAGUGUUAGAAAAAAAUGCUUGGUCUUCAUCAGAUAAAUAUACUCACAGCCUCAUAUUAACAAAGUGAAUGGAUAUGCCAGUGAGUAUAAAUAUGGGGCCUCACGUAUACUGGCUUGCAUCACCAGUUAGGUAUACGUAUCUGUCACGAAGUUAUCUAGAUCAAUCUAUGCCCAUGACAGGGGGGCAGUAGGCCCUUGGGCCCCCUGGCUCCCAAGAAUGGGAAGGGAAAAGGGAAAGGGGUAGGAAAACGGGAGUUGGGCUCAGAGAGGGGGAAAAGAACAGAGCAGCGGUAACAAUCUAGGGAGGAAAACUUACCUUACUAACUAUGAUAUUGGUAUGCAAGAUAACAUAAUAUAAUACAAUGUAAUUGAAAUUGAGGCUAAUAAAUCAAAUAAAAUGAGAGAGAAAGUUUCUGAAACCGAAAGGCCUACUUGAAUGAAGGCGCACAGCUUGGAAGCACACGCACCCCUCUGCCUGGCAGUGAGAGAGAGCCGAGAGAGCGCCAGAUCCCAUGAUUUCUGUGACGUAUCUUCCUUCUCUGACCGUGAGGUCCUCUGGGAUACAUAGUUCUUCUCUUUUGAGAAGCAAGUAUCUGGAAGGUUGUCAAUCCACAGAACUGGAGUAUUAACUCUUUUGUUACCCAUGCCGUACAUGACGUUAUGAUGUGGAAUACCAGUAGCAAAAUUACAAAGCCGUGACAGUAUCUUUACUUCAGUUCCUAUAUGAAAACUGUGAAAUAAAUAUUGUUUCGUUUUCUUAUUGUGAUUUUGCCAGUCCUAACAAGUAAGUGUGCAUUAUGAGAAAAGGAGAGAAAGGAAAACUAAAAAUCCCAAAGACUCUUCAGAAGAUCAGAGCUGAAAGCUCAUCACAGAGCUUUCUGGCUUGCUCUUUAUAAGGUUGACACAGUCCUCAACUGAUGAUAUUAUGAUACAAUGAAAGUAUUAAUGUGUUCAAGAAUUUUCAUCAGUUUUAGGACAGGCUGUUCAUCGUCUAGUAACAAGCAUUGCAAGCCCACCUGCUGUUCAGAAAUCUCAAAGUUUCAAUUGUUUUGCCAAAAACUGUGAACAAUACUAGUUUGGAUCCAGUAAGAAAUCACACAGCUUAAGUAAUGAACAACAAAUAGUCAAAGUAAACAAGUCACAAACAAUUUCAUAACACAACAAUGCAAUUGCCAUAGCAAGCACCAUUUAAAAUCACUAGCUGUGUCAACUAAAUGAGUCAGUGAUUGUUUAAUGAGAGUGCGAUUUGUUAAUAACAAAUGAGUGAUAAACACUCUGUUCAGUGGUUCAGAUUGCAUAACCAUCUCUGCUCUUUGGUCAGACAACUUGGAAUUUCAUGAAAACACUUGAAUCUCUUGCAAUGUUUCCAUGUUUCCUGCUCUGGCUAAAUUAGAAAUAUAUGAAAAUAUAUUUCUCCCACUGCUGUGUUACUUUUGCUAAUAGGUGCCAUCGGGAAAUAAAAAGACGUGCAAGUUGAUUAUUUAACCACUGGAAAUUGUAAAUUCAGUUCAACAAAAGGUUAAUAAUGACAUAACAUGAAUAAUGUUAUCUGAGGUAUCAUGCUGAUUUCAAUACGCCUUAUUUCCUUAAUUCUGAUGUCAACGUCUUGCAUCAUACUUCAAAACAUUCAAAGAUGUUUUACAGAACCCAAUGACCUUAUCUAGUCCUUUUACAUUCCUUUUCUUGAAUGUAUCUUCUGAAUGGCAUCUGUGUUUAAUUUUCCCAUUUAAUUUUCCCAGACUACAGUGUUCUUGAUUGAACCUGCAUUAGGUUGGAUUAACCAGAUGAUGAGACAACCUGUGAUGCCUAAGAAGUUAUUGUUCAAUAAAAACUUGGAAUACCUUUCAGAUAUCACGGGUGAUUGACUCCUAUUUUAUACAUGUGAACAGUAGAAUCUGUUUUCAGUUUGUGUUGAUUUUUAGAUAUUCUCUGUAAGAAUACAAAUGUUCUAAAACCAGAAUUUAUCUCAGCUCAUAUUGAUUAAAACUGCCUGAGUAUUCCUUCUUGAAAUCCAUUUGCAGAAGCAAAGAAGAAUGUCAGUGAAACUGUAAAACUAAACCUAUUCUGUAGUGUAUUUUUGUUUGUUUAGAG
ensembl:lncRNA